rnacentral:rRNA from 1 species
CAUGUCUAUAUGGUUGUUAUAUAAAGUCUAGCCUGCCCACUGAUUUAGUUUAAAGGGCCGCGGUAUAUUGACCGUGCGAAGGUAGCAUAAUCAUUAGUCUUUUAAUUGAAGGCUUGUAUGAAUGGUUGGACAAAAAGUAAGCUGUCUCAAUUAUAAUAAUUGAAUUUAACUUUUAAGUGAAAAGGCUUAAAUAAAUUAAGGGGACGAUAAGACCCUAUAAAGCUUGACAAUAAUUUAAUUAUACUAUCAAUUGUUAGUAUAACUUGGUUUUAAUUAAUAUUUGUUGCGUUGGGGCGACGAGAAUAUAAUAGGUAACUGUUCUUAAAUAUUUAAUAACAAAUAUAAUUGGAAAUUAGUAUGAUCCUCUAUUAGCGAUUAAAAGAUUAAGUUACUUUAGGGAUAACAGCGUAAUUUUCUUUGAGAGUCCCUAUCGACAAGAAGGUUUGCGACCUCGAUGUUGAAUUAAGGUAUCCUUAUGAUGCAG